rnacentral:rRNA from 1 species
UACGGGGGGGGCAAGCGUUGUUCGGAAUUACUGGGCGUAAAGGGUUUGUAGGUGGCCAACUAAGUCAGACGUGAAAUCCCUCAGCUUAACUGGGGAACUGCGUCUGAGACUGGAUGGCUCGAGUGCAGGAGAGGAACGCGGAAUUCCAGGUGUAGCGGUGAAAUGCGUAGAUAUGCGGAGGAACACCGAUGGCGAAGGCAAUCCCCUGGACCUGUACUGACGCUCAUGCACGAAAGCGUGGGGAGCAAACAGG